GGUUGUGGCUCAGUGGCAGACUGCUUGCCUGGUAUGUUUGAGGCACUGGGUUCGAUCCUCAGCACCA
rnacentral:tRNA from 1 species